GGCGGGCACAGGGGCUGGAGCUGGGCAGAAGGCUGGCGGUUGGCCACUGGGGCCGGGAGCGGGGAGCGGUGGCGUGGAGGUGUCCUCGCGCUCGCAGCCGCGAUCCGGACAGAGCUGUGUGGUCUAAGGCAAGCCAGCCGACCGCAGCGGGAAGCCGGGCGGAACGGAGCGGCGGGAGCAGGAUGGCAGAGGCCGUCGGAGCCGUGGCACUGAUUGCGGCCCCGGCCCGCCGGCGCUGGCUGUGGUCGGUGCUAGCCGCGAUGCUCGGGCUGUUGACAGCUAGAAUAUCAGCCUUGGAGGUCCAUACUCCUAAAGAAAUCUUUGUGGUGAAUGGGACACAAGGGAAGCUGACUUGCACAUUCGAUUCUCCUAACACAACUGGAUGGUUGACCACGGUCUCCUGGAGCUUCCAGCCAGACGGCACCGACAGCGCCGUGUCGUUUUUCCACUACUCACAAGGACAGGUGUACAUUGGGGAUUAUCCACCAUUUAAAGACCGAGUCACCUGGGCUGGGGACCUUGACAAGAAAGAUGCAUCAAUCAAUAUAGAAAAUAUUCAGGCUGUUCACAAUGGCACCUAUAUCUGCGAUGUCAAAAAUCCUCCUGACAUUGUUGUGCGGCCUGGACACAUUAGGCUCCACGUGGUGGAAAUAGACAACCUGUUGGUGUUCCUGGUUUGGGUGGUGGUGGGCACUGUCACUGCUGUGGUCCUUGGCCUCACUCUGCUCAUCAGCUUGGUCCUGGUCGUCCUCUACAGAAGGAAACAUUCGAAGCGGGAUUAUACCGGGUAAGAACUGCUGCCUUGUAAGGAAAGGGUUGGGGAGAAGAAAUCGGGCUCUAUAAAAACUUACUCUUUAUGGGGAAAGCACUGGGCAGAAUUAAUCUCCUGUUUGCUUUUCUGUCAGGCUCAAGCAGUCCUAGGCGCUGUGUUAUGUAUGAGGAAGCAGACGUCAGUGGCUCGCUGUUAGUUAACACAGGAUGCCAGUCUCCAUUCUGUAGUCUCCUCCCGAGGUUUGGGGAAGUGAUUGGCUCAGCAAUCAGGUGCUGAGUUUCCAGGCCGUCCUCUCAUCAGUUAGAGUUCUUAAGCCAGACAUCACGUACUCAGUUUAAGUAAUGCUUUAGACGGUUUAAGGGUUUGAUUUUGCUAGGCAUGGUGUCACAUGCCUGUAAUUCCAGUACUUGGGAAAUCAUUCAAGGUCAUACUUGGUUUCAUAGUAGGCUUGAGGCCGUCCUGAGCUGCAUCCUUGUCUCAAAAUAACAACAGGGUCUGGCAUGAUAGUUGAGCAGGUAAAGAUGGUUGCCCCCCAAUGACUGGAGUUUAAUCCUGAAGCCCAUAUGGUAGGAAGGAACUAACCCCUGACACGUUCUCCUUUGACCCCUAUUCCACACCAUGGUACAGGUGUGUUUAUCUCCUCUACAUCACCCCCACCAACAAAUUAAAAUGAGAAGAGGUUAAAAAUAGUUUAAUUGCAGUGUGUUGCUAUUACUAUCCUAGGGCCUUCCUUUUGCUUGGCUAUAUAAAACACCACUGGAGAUGCUCUGCUAGUGUAUGGCCCUCCUAGCCCUGUGCGAUGCGCCAUGCGCCAUGUGCCAUGUGUGGCUUCUCUCCGCUGUAGUUCCCACCCCCACUACAACAGGAGCAGCUCCAUCACCUCGCUGUUUGCUGGUUGCAUGCACUGAGAGAAUAAGAGUUAACGUCAAAACACAAGAGGAAGAAAGAAGACAUAGCUUUGUUAUGGUGUCUCACCAGGAACACCUGAGUGUAGGGUUGUGUCUAACUGCAAGACCUUCUCUUUCCCCACUCCAGCUGGAAAGCUAACGCAAUAUAAGCUAUAGCACCCAUGCGGUAAGACUGGGGGUGGAGGCUGGUUUCAAGUUGGUAUGGCAUGCGCAGUGUCACACACGCACUAGCUAACUUGAGUCAUCCUAGAGGGACUGUGGUUAGAGGGGACCACGUGCGCGGAUGACGGGGCCUCUCUCUGUGAGCUUUGCUGACCUAGACUUGUUAGCUGUGCUGUGUUUAAACAAGCCUCCGUGCUCUGAUUCGGGUACUGCUUGGAAUGCUUCUGUUCUGCUGAGUAUUGCUCCCUUGCAUGAGUGUGUGUGAUUAAAUACAGCGGGAUUGACGGCUCUCAGCAUGAGGCUAGGCCAAUAGUAAUGCUUUAGACGGUGGUUCUCGCUUGCGGUUAAUAAAGUGGGCAGGAAGAUAUUCCUUGGGUCCUGCCUGCCGGGCACCAUGGUUGCUGCUGUUCUUACCUCUCUCCCGCCCCCACCAUUUCUUGCUUUUCUUUCUUGGUAUGCUGGGACCAGGUCCUGGUUAGAUUCCCUUCUUAAGAUGACAUAGAAGAUACAUUGUCACUUAGAAGAUACAGAAGGCACUGUAACAGGGAUGGGUCUCCUCUUCUACUCCCACUAGACACAUGCUGCAGUACCUCAGAGCGUUUGUCACCAGUUAAGCAGGCUCCACGGAAGUGUCCCUCCGACACAGAGGGUCUAGUAAAGAGUCCGCCUUCCGCCGGAUCUCACCAGGGCCCAGUCAUUUACGCACAGUUAGACCACUCUGGCGGACACCACAGCGGCAAGAUUAAUAAGUCAGAGUCGGUUGUGUAUGCGGACAUCCGGAAAGACUAAGAGAACACCCAAACAUUUCCAAACUGGACGCUUGUGCAGAAAAUGUCCAUAACCGCAUGUGGCCUUGAGGACUCGGGCAAGGACAAGCACAUGUAUACUCGGAGAGAGCAGAAAAUAUGUAUAGAGGAUAUGUAUAUUCUAUUUAAUCUUCCUGAUGUGAGAGGCCAACGUUGCAUGGUGAAGUGGUAUGAGUCUACGUAUGUGUAAAUUGUCUUGCUGUUUCUGUAUAUUCUUUCAGAGUCAUUUCUAGCUGGAAAGUUUUAGAAGCAUCCCGUGGUCCCAUGCGUGGGAUGGUUUGCCUUAUUGAAGACUCUGCAGAACCGUUAGUCUUUCCGACAGACGUGGCCUUUUUCAUCUAAGGGCUCAACCAGUCUAAGCAUUUCUUGUAGUUAGAGAGUGAGGUGUUCAGUGGAAGUGUGUCUCUCACAGUAUCAGGACCGUUUUGUUCUGUGCCCGUGCUAGCUGAUAGACACCGUCGGUUAACCACGCCACCCGAGGACAGUCUGAGAAGUUAGUGUUGAUGCUUUUCUUUAUAUGAGGGAAUUCUGAGCUGAGAUUGUCCUUGUCACCAUCCUGCUAUUAGCUACGAUCUCACAAUGAGUUCUUGUCAGCGUGCAGACAGCAGAGCUGGCUGAGGCUGUGGUCGUGGUUAAAAGGGUACAGAUUACAGAGCCCCAGCAUGACAAUAGCGUGUGGAAGGCAGCAUCUUCCUUUCUCCUCCUCUUAGGGACGCUAUCAAUGAACUGCACACUCUAGAUACCUCCUGACACCAGGUUCUUUACCAUCUCCUUGUGGUGCUGAGACCGUGUAUAUGGUGCUAGUGCUCUGUGGGCUUUGUUCAAAUGACACCUCUUCUUAAGGGCUUUCUACAUCUGGCUCCAUGAUCUCCCUGCCCAGUCAGAACCAAAUCCUCUGUUGGCCAAGCCAACCUUCUUCCCUAGGCAGAAACCGUUGGCUGCUGGCCGGCCUUCCUGGACUGAGCCUGCAGCCUGGUUCCAGCUGCUCGCAGGACAGUGUGCAGGCCUCAUGGCCUAACUCCACACACCACCUCCCUUGGAGUAUUCGGUCUCUUUCCUGCAACUCUGCGUUCUGGGCCUGGCUACAGAUAACAGUGAGGCCACGUCCAGAUGGCAGACCUGUGCUUCCUGUGUCUUCUGAGCAGAAGAAUGCAUUCGAAUUGAGAAGAGACACCUAAAAGGGAUGGCUUUUAGAAUUCCUGCCUGUAUUUUCUCCUGGAAAUGUGUCCAGCUGGAGAGAUACCAAGUUCAUUGUUACUUUUUGAUAUUUUCAUUUGUACGUCUGUGAAUAUUUUAAUACAUCUUUUUCGAUUUCUGAA